AGAAUUUCUUCUUCUCAGAC
rnacentral:tRNA from 1 species